GUACUACCUUUAGCAGUAUAUAUUUUAAAACUGAAAAAAUACAAACAAAAUUAACAUACUCUGCACAUGAGGGAUAAGAAAAUGUGUGAGAUGUUCCUUAUUUUU